rnacentral:rRNA from 1 species
AGUUUGAUCCUGGCUCAGAUUGAACGCUGGCGGAAUGCUUUACACAUGCAAGUCGAACGGCAGCACGGGAGCUUGCUCCUGGUGGCGAGUGGCGAACGGGUGAGUAAUGCGUCGGAACGUACCGAGUAAUGGGGGAUAACGCAGCGAAAGCUGUGCUAAUACCGCAUACGCCCUGAGGGGGAAAGCGGGGGAUCGCAAGACCUCGCGUUAUUCGAGCGGCCGACGUCUGAUUAGCUAGUUGGUGGGGUAAUGGCCCACCAAGGCGACGAUCAGUAGCGGGUCUGAGAGGAUGAUCCGCCACACUGGAACUGAGACACGGUCCAGACUCCUACGGGAGGCAGCAGUGGGGAAUUUUGGACAAUGGGGGCAACCCUGAUCCAGCCAUUCCGCGUGAGUGAAGAAGGCCUUCGGGUUGUAAAGCUCUUUCAGCCGGAAAGAAACGGUGCGCACUAACAUUGCGUGCUAAUGACGGUACCGGCAGAAGAAGCACCGGCUAACUACGUGCCAGCAGCCGCGGUAAUACGUAGGGUGCGAGCGUUAAUCGGAAUUACUGGGCGUAAAGCGUGCGCAGGCGGAUUGUUAAGCAAGAUGUGAAAUCCCCGGGCUUAACCUGGGAAUGGCAUUUUGAACU